CUUUGCAGCAGCCAGGAGUCCGACUCCUCCUCUUCCUGUGUGGAACCUGGAAUUCAAACGGCUGGGGCCUCACUCACGGCAUAUGGAACUAACCACGCCCCUAACUAAGAAGGCACACCUUAGUUGCAGUUAGCACACAAUUAAAGCAACUCUCCAAGUUUUACCUUAAAGUUCAAAAUUGCUAGGAGUUGAAACUACUAGAAAUAUAUUUACAUGCAAGAGUCAAAGAAACUUUGAACUAUUUAUGGCCUUUAAUAAUUAAGUAAGGUAUACUCCUGUGAUCAAGACUUGGAGCAUAUUUGUUUCUCUCUGCCUGGUUCCUCUAGAAAUUGGAAACUAUCAGAACAGAGACCAACUCCGUUUCCCGAUCCCUUUGCAAUCUGCAUUGAACCAUGAGUCAAGUUCUUGAUAAAGGAGUGAAAAUGGUAAGUCUAAAGCAAUGAAAAGCUGCUGUAUUGACUACACAUGCCUUCAUUUCUUCUACCCUGCUUCUUUCAUGCCUGCUUAUCUGAAUGACACCAGGAUGACAUUUAAGGCACAUCUGAAGAUGGGGAAACCACAGCACAGAAUAAGGCUGGGCCCUUGAAUCAAUAAAUGAAGGAGAACUACUCAAGAGAACAAAACCACCAGCAAUAUCCACCUGUAUUUGUCUUUUCAUAAUGUGUGACACAUGUGCUCAUGGAUUAUUGUCCGAAGCAAGACAUGUGACCAAGCCUAACAUCAACUGGGUGAAGAGCUAUAUGUUCCUUUCUCAAGAGGCACUACAAGUGACAUGCCACUGGGCAGGAAAACAAAAUCUGAAAUUGAUCUCCAUGUGCAAAACUAAGUCACACCAUCAUCUCUGUAGUUUAGCAAAAGCUGGAGGUGCCUUGACAUUUGCAGUACACUGAAACAGUGGCUGGCUUGAAAAAUCCCAAAACGAUUUUCUGCAGGAGAGCCCUUUUGACUAAUAUGAG
rnacentral:lncRNA from 10 species